ACGGGUGAGUAACACGUGGGAACGUACCCUUUUCUACGGAAUAACCCAGGGAAACUUGGACUAAUACCGUAUGUGCCCUUCGGGGGAAAGAUUUAUCGGAAAAGGAUCGGCCCGCGUUGGAUUAGCUAGUUGGUGGGGUAAAGGCCUACCAAGGCGACGAUCCAUAGCUGGUCUGAGAGGAUGAUCAGCCACAUUGGGACUGAGACACGGCCCAAACUCCUACGGGAGGCAGCAGUGGGGAAUAUUGGACAAUGGGCGCAAGCCUGAUCCAGCCAUGCCGCGUGAGUGAUGAAGGCCUUAGGGUUGUAAAGCUCUUUCACCGGAGAAGAUAAUGACGGUAUCCGGAGAAGAAGCCCCGGCUAACUUCGUGCCAGCAGCCGCGGUAAUACGAAGGGGGCUAGCGUUGUUCGGAUUUACUGGGCGUAAAGCGCACGUAGGCGGAUCGAUCAGUCAGGGGUGAAAUCCCAGAGCUCAACUCUGGAACUGCCUUUGAUACUGUCGAUCUGGAGUAUGGAAGGGGUGAGUGGAAUUCCGAGUGUAGAGGUGAAAUUCGUAGA
rnacentral:rRNA from 1 species